rnacentral:rRNA from 1 species
UACGGAGGAUGCAAGCGUUAUCCGGAUUUAUUGGGUUUAAAGGGUGCGCAGGUUGUUUGAUAAGUCAGUGGUGAAAAACUGCCGCUUAACGGUAGUCUUGCCAUUGAUACUGUUUUUCUUGAGUAUGGAUGAGGUAGGCGGAAUGUGCAGUGUAGCGGUGAAAUGCAUAGAUAUUGCACGGAACUCCGAUUGCGAAGGCAGCUUACUGGACCAUUACUGACGCUCAGGCACGAAAGCGUGGGUAGCAAACAGGAUUA